rnacentral:rRNA from 1 species
GACGUAGGGCGCGAGCGUUGUCCGGAUUUAUUGGGCGUAAAGAGCUCGUAGGCGGUUUGUCGCGUCUGCUGUGAAAAUCCAGGGCUUAACCCUGGACCUGCAGUGGGUACGGGCAGACUAGAGUGCGGUAGGGGAGAUCGGAAUUCCUGGUGUAGCGGUGAAAUGCGCAGAUAUCAGGAGGAACACCGGUGGCGAAGGCGGAUCUCUGGGCCGUAACUGACGCUGAGGAGCGAAAGCAUGGGGAGCGAACAGG